UUAGGCUACUGUGAAAGAAUCGUUUGCCGGCAAGCGGCAGUUGCACGUGUUUCUCGCCUGAUUUUCGUUCAUUUUAAAUUCGCUCGCGAAUUAAACAAGUUUCUGAAAGAGAGCAGCACGAGCUGACUGACAGCGAGAGAGGCGUUCUAUUGUUCUCUAAGCUUUGUCUUUGAGGAAUGAAACCAUUCGAUUUUUGAAUUCACCGAAAGUGCCGACAACUUCUGGAAUAUAUUGGAUUAAACAUUGCCAGAUAAUUGCAGCGCCAUUUAAUCAUCGUUUGACGCAAUUUACUGAUUGAUGUCUCUGCUACAUGGGUAGAUAAAGUAAUUCGGCCACUUGAUCAAUACAAAAAACAUAUGGAUAAGGCACACCCAUCGUAUUACACACUCCAACGUUGUCAUAUAAAUGCCUAACGGUAUAAUCCACUUGACAACAUGACGAAAACUGAGCCAGACACUCGAAAUAAAUCCAAAAGUAUGCAACGGAUUUAUGUGGAUUCAUAUCAUGGCAGCCAAAAGUAUGCAAUAGUUUUGAACCAAAGC